AUUUAUUUUUGGAACUCACAUAUAUGUUAUUAACAAAUAUAAAUAAUAUUUUGUUAAAAAUGCCCCCACAUUUAUUAUUGAAGUAUAUUCAAAAUAUAUUCAAGAUUUGAUACAUUGGUUUAGCCAUUCAGCUGAUGUUGAGAUUGCAGCAACCUCAGCCCACAAAAACACAAACCUGAGGUGGAGUGUAUUCAUCCAUUUUUGUACUGCUUUGAAGAAAUACCUGAGACUGGGUAAUUUAUAAAGAAAAAGAGGUUUAAGGGACUCACAGUUCCACAUGGCUGGGAGGCGAGGGAGGAGCAAAGGCACAUCUUACAUGGCUGAAGGCAAGAGAGUGUGUGUAGGGGAACGGCCCUUUAUAAAACCAUCAGAUCUCAUGAGACUUAUUCACUAUCACUAGAACAGCACCAAAAAACCUGCCCCCGUGAUUCAGUUACCUUCCAUCAGGUACCUCCCAUGACACAUGGGAAUUAUGGGAGCUACAGUUAAGAUGAGAUUUGGCUGGGGACAGAGCCAAACCAUAUCAUGGAACAAGAUAAAGGGGCCUUUGCAUGUCAGAAAUAGUUCCAGAUACCAGCAAGACAGACAGUUUCUUGAGUUGGACUUAUUUUCAGCUUUCUUAGCAUCUGUUAUAUGGUAAAUAGUGGGCGCAUCCCCAUUGAAAACAAUGUGAAAGGAGAAAGGGAAAAAAUAGUGAAGAAGGCAGCAGCACGCUGAAGACUGGUGCAUGCUGGUGCGUGUAAAGUUCAGAUGGAAUCUGCUGUGCUUUCUAGAAUCUCCUACUUUCUCACUGUGUUCAGCAGGAGAGACCCUUUUUAUCUUGGCAAUCAUAUUUCCCAUAGUUAGUCCUCUCCCUAACCCUGUGCAGGCAAGGCUUAGCUGCUCACUCCUUCACACUGUUGCCUUCUUUGUCCUCUCUGAGUCAGAGUUCUGAGCCUGUCGCAGAUCCAGUAUAAAACUCCACCUUCUCCACAUCAGUUCACGUUGAGCCCUUCUUCUCCAGACCUCCUGCCUCCUUCCUUCAUUCAUUAAUGGAGAAGCUGCUGCAGGUCAAACCUGUAGGUGCCGGGUGCUACAGGGGAUAUGAGACUGAUAGGGUAACUGGGAAGGUAAAACAGCCACAGAAAACUCAAUACACAGAACUCAGAUAAAGAGUGGCAGGGGAUAGGAGGGGAGGGAUUUCCCUGUGACUGGAGUAUUCAGGGCCGACUUUCAGAGGUGACUUUUGGGAAAGCCUUGACUGAUUUGUAGCAUUUGGCUUCUAGAUAGCAUAUAUGAAAGGCUUAGAUUCUGAUCAAAGACUGAGAUUAAAAUAUACUUUGAAAAGGGAGGGAAGAAUUUGUUUCUCAACUUUUGCAAUCUCAAAAAUUG
rnacentral:lncRNA from 10 species